AGCGAACGCUGGCGGCAGGCCUAACACAUGCAAGUCGAACGAAGUCUUCGGACUUAGUGGCGGACGGGUGAGUAACACGUGGGAACGUGCCUUUAGGUUCGGAAUAACUCAGGGAAACUUGUGCUAAUACCGAAUGUGCCCUUCGGGGGAAAGAUUUAUCGCCUUUAGAGCGGCCCGCGUCUGAUUAGCUAGUUGGUGAGGUAAAGGCUCACCAAGGCGACGAUCAGUAGCUGGUCUGAGAGGAUGAUCAGCCACAUUGGGACUGAGACACGGCCCAAACUCCUACGGGAGGCAGCAGUGGGGAAUCUUGCGCAAUGGGCGAAAGCCUGACGCAGCCAUGCCGCGUGAAUGAUGAAGGUCUUAGGAUUGUAAAAUUCUUUCACCGGGGGACGAUAAUGACGGUACCCGGAGAAGGAGCCCCGGCUAACUUCGUGCCAGCCGCCGCGGUAAGAC
rnacentral:rRNA from 1 species